UACGUAGGGUGCAAGCGUUAAUCGGAAUCACUGGGCGUAAAGGGCGUGUAGGCGGCUUCGUAAGUCUUGUGUGAAAGCCCUCGGCUCAACCGAGGAAUUGCACGAGAAACUGCGUGGCUCGAGUCCGGGAGAGGAUAGUGGAAUUCCCAGUGUAGCGGUGAAAUGCGUAGAUAUUGGGAGGAACACCGGUGGCGAAGGCGGCUAUCUGGACCGGUACUGACGCUGAUACGCGAAAGCCAGGGGAGCAAACGGG
rnacentral:rRNA from 1 species